rnacentral:rRNA from 1 species
GGUUAAGCGACCAAGCGUACACGGUGGAUGCCCUGGCAGUCAGAGGCGAUGAAGGACGUGCUAAUCUGCGAUAAGCGCCGGUAAGGUGAUAUGAACCGUUAUAACCGGCGAUUUCCGAAUGGGGAAACCCAGUGUGAUUCGUCACACUAUCAUUAACUGAAUCCAUAGGUUAAUGAGGCGAACCGGGGGAACUGAAACAUCUAAGUACCCCGAGGAAAAGAAAUCAACCGAGAUUCCCCCCAGUAGCGGCGAGCGAACGGGGAGGAGCCCAGAGCCUGAAUCAGCAUGUGUGUUAGUGGAAGCGUCUGGAAAGGCGCGCGAUACAGGGUGACAGCCCCGUACACAAAAGCGCAUAUGCUGUGAGCUCGAUGAGUAGGGCGGGACACGUGGUAUCCUGUCUGAAUAUGGGGGGGACCAUCCUCCAAGGCUAAAUACUCCUGACUGACCGAUAGUGAACCAGUACCGUGAGGGAAAGGCGAAAAGAACCCCGGCGAGGGGAGUGAAACAGAACCUGAAACCGUGUACGUACAAGCAGUGGGAGCACAGGUUUACCUGUGUGACUGCGUACCUUUUGUAUAAUGGGUCAGCGACUUAUAUUCUGUAGCAAGGUUAACCGUAUAGGGGAGCCGAAGGGAAACCGAGUCUUAAUUGGGCGUUAAGUUGCAGGGUAUAGACCCGAAACCCGGUGAUCUAGCCAUGGGCAGGUUGAAGGUUGGGUAACACUAACUGGAGGACCGAACCGACUAAUGUUGAAAAAAUUAGCGGAUGACCUGUGGCUGGGGGGUGAAAGGCCAAUCAAACCGGGAGAUAGCUGGUUCUCCCCGAAAGCUAUUUAGGUAGCGCCUCGUGAAUUCAUCUCCGGGGGUAGAGCACUGUUUCGGCUAGGGGGGCCAUCCCGGCUUACCAACCCGAUGCAAACUGCGAAUACCGGAGAAUGUUAUCACGGGAGACACACGGCGGGUGCUAACGUCCGUCGUGAAGAGGGAAACAACCCAGACCGCCAGCUAAGGUCCCAAAGUCAUGGUUAAGUGGGAAACGAUGUGGGAAGGCCCAGACAGCCAGGAUGUUGGCUUAGAAGCAGCCAUCAUUUAAAGAAAGCGUAAUAGCUCACUGGUCGAGUCGGCCUGCGCGGAAGAUGUAACGGGGCUAAACCAUGCACCGAAGCUGCGGCAGCGACGCUUAUGCGUUGUUGGGUAGGGGAGCGUUCUGUAAGCCUGCGAAGGUGGCCUGUGAGGGUUGCUGGAGGUAUCAGAAGUGCGAAUGCUGACAUAAGUAACGAUAAAGCGGGUGAAAAGCCCGCUCGCCGGAAGACCAAGGGUUCCUGUCCAACGUUAAUCGGGGCAGGGUGAGUCGACCCCUAAGGCGAGGCCGAAAGGCGUAGUCGAUGGGAAACGGGUUAAUAUUCCCGUACUUGGUGUUACUGCGAAGGGGGGACGGAGAAGGCUAUGUUGGCCGGGCGACGGUUGUCCCGGUUUAAGCGUGUAGGUGUGUGUUCCAGGUAAAUCCGGUUCACUUUAACACUGAGGCGUGACGACGAGGCACCACGGUGCUGAAGCAACAAAUGCCCUGCUUCCAGGAAAAGCCUCUAAGCAUCAGGUAACAUCAAAUCGUACCCCCAAACCGACACAGGUGGUCAGGUAGAGAAUACCAAGGCGCUUGAGAGAACUCGGGUGAAGGAACUAGGCAAAAUGGUGCCGUAACUUCGGGAGAAGGCACGCUGACACGUAGGUGAAGUGGUUUACCCAUGGAGCUGAAGUCAGUCGAAGAUACCAGCUGGCUGCAACUGUUUAUUAAAAACACAGCACUGUGCAAACACGAAAGUGGACGUAUACGGUGUGACGCCUGCCCGGUGCCGGAAGGUUAAUUGAUGGGGUCAGCGCAAGCGAAGCUCCUGAUCGAAGCCCCGGUAAACGGCGGCCGUAACUAUAACGGUCCUAAGGUAGCGAAAUUCCUUGUCGGGUAAGUUCCGACCUGCACGAAUGGCGUAAUGAUGGCCAGGCUGUCUCCACCCGAGACUCAGUGAAAUUGAACUCGCUGUGAAGAUGCAGUGUACCCGCGGCAAGACGGAAAGACCCCGUGAACCUUUACUAUAGCUUGACACUGAACAUUGAGCCUUGAUGUGUAGGAUAGGUGGGAGGCUUUGAAGCGUGGACGCCAGUCUGCGUGGAGCCAACCUUGAAAUACCACCCUUUAAUGUUUGAUGUUCUAACGUGGACCCGUAAUCCGGGUUGCGGACAGUGUCUGGUGGGUAGUUUGACUGGGGCGGUCUCCUCCUAAAGAGUAACGGAGGAGCACGAAGGUUGGCUAAUCCUGGUCGGACAUCAGGAGGUUAGUGCAAUGGCAUAAGCCAGCUUGACUGCGAGCGUGACGGCGCGAGCAGGUGCGAAAGCAGGUCAUAGUGAUCCGGUGGUUCUGAAUGGAAGGGCCAUCGCUCAACGGAUAAAAGGUACUCCGGGGAUAACAGGCUGAUACCGCCCAAGAGUUCAUAUCGACGGCGGUGUUUGGCACCUCGAUGUCGGCUCAUCACAUCCUGGGGCUGAAGUAGGUCCCAAGGGUAUGGCUGUUCGCCAUUUAAAGUGGUACGCGAGCUGGGUUUAGAACGUCGUGAGACAGUCUCGGUCCCCUAUCUGCCGUGGGCGCUGGAGAACUGAGGGGGGGCUGCUCCUAGUACGAGAGGACCGGAGUGGACGCAUCACUGGUGUUCGGGUUGUCAUGCCAAUGGCACUGCCCGGUAGCUAAAUGCGGAAGAGAUAAGUGCUGAAAGCAUCUAAGCACGAAACUUGCCCCGAGAUGAGUUCUCCCUGAGACUUUGAGUCUCCUGAAGGAACGUUAAAGACGAUGACGUUGAUAGGCCGGGUGUGUAAGCGCAGCGAUGCGUUGAGCUAACCGGUACUAAUGAACCGUGAGGCUUAACCUU